UGCUCAGAAGAUUCAGAUGGGCUCCAUUUCUCUCCUUCUCAGUCUCCUUAUUUUACUUCAUGGGAAAAGGGUUCUGAAAACACUGUCUGGCCCAUCUCAGGUGUUCUGGGAAACAAUUUGAUUGAGAGAGUCCCAAAAAGUUUCAGUUUGUUCAUGUGUUAACAUUUGUUUAGAAAAUUCAGCUGAUUUUGGUUUAUUUAUGAUUAGUUUCAGUCAGCAUAGUCAGCCAAAUGUCUUUCUAUUACACAUCAGCAUGACUUAUUAUUUAAUCAUGUGUGCUGUGUGUUGUUUACAACGAUUGCUUUUCACUUAGUUCCUUACAUUCUCACGCGUGAAAUCGAAUUGAAUCGCAAGGACCAUUUUGCUUGCCCGUAUGAUGUGCUUUUCCCCCACAGAUUUGCAUGGACUAAAGUGACAUUGAAACAGCUGUUGCCAAUUCCCUAUCACCUCUUCCCUCCCCAAAUUAAUUGCUAAACUCGCCCCAGAACUAGAGUUAGAAGGAACUGGAAGUUGUCCUUAGCACGGCCUUCGGACAGGGGACCUCUCGACCAAAGGACAUCCACCUUGUUGCUGCUGCUCCUCUCCGCUGUUCACCUACUGUGGGAAAAAGACACAAAUCACAACGCUAUCAACAGAAUUGCUAAAGACACGGUGGACACGCCGACGCAGCUGCAUGAUGCUACACCUAAUGCUACAACCCAGCAGGCCCGGCAUAGCGCGAGAGACAGCCCAGCAAGCAGCCAUCGACAGCUGAACCCUGCUCGGGUAGAGCCAAAGGAAAAAGCCACCUCCAUGAGUGAAUCAACUGCUGUGUUAGUUUGCCCCGGUGCUCAUAGUUAGCCUUUAGCCUAAAUCCUAGCCCUUUUAUUUUUCCAAUAGGGCCGUAGUGAUAGUGUAUUGUCAAAACUGAAUUUAUAAUAAAAAACCUUUGAUU